CACGCCGCCGCCGUCGGCGCCCCGCACUCGGGGUGGCGCCGGGUCGCGGGGCCUGGGCCGCAGCGUCGUGCGGAGGCUCGACGGGCACGAGAGGGCCAGGGAGCCCACGUGGAAAGUGACAGCGGCCCAGGAAGCUGUCCCGAGGUGGUGCCUGGACUGGAAAAGCGGCCUGGGAACAGGGGGUUCUCGAGAGGCGGGCUAGGGGCAAGAGCAGUCUGCGCAGAAGGCCGCGGGCUGCAGGUCUGCCCAGGGAGGGGUGACGAGAUGGCCGGAGCCUGGCAGCUCGGGGGCCACGCCGCCAGGCAGAGGCCCUGCAGGGUUUGGGAUCACGAGAAGGAAUUAACUGAGCUCAUCCCCAGCCAGGCCUCUCAACUCCACGCUCUGGGCCCGCGGCCUGGGAGGACUCUGGCAAGAAACUAAUCCCCAAGACCCCCCAUGUUGCCUCCUGGAUGAGUCUCAAAUCUGUCUUCUCUCCAUCCACUGCCAUCCUGAUCACUGCUGGACCAUGGUGACAGCUUUAGCUAGCUAGUUCCCUUGCCAUCAGGCUGGUCACCCUGCAGCUGUGUGAAAAACAAACUAGAUCUUGUCCCCUCUCUGGGACUGCCCGCCCCAGUUUUCUCAUGGUGCCUGGGUAGGCCCACCGUCUGGAACCAACCUGCCCAUGAUUAAAUGCUAAUUGUGCCUGAAUGUCCCUAUCUGAAAAUUGGGGAUGAUGAUAGAAACUGGGCAGCGUUCUGGGUACUUAACACACAUCCUGUACUGUCCUUUAUAAUCCUGUGACAACCUAGGAGAUUUAACUCAUGUCUGUCUGCCUUACUCUAAUAACAAUAAAGAACAAUAGAAGACAUUCUGAAUUA